UACGGAGGGAGCUAGCGUUGUUCGGAAUUACUGGGCGUAAAGCGCGCGUAGGCGGCUUUUUAAGUCAGGGGUGAAAUCCUGGAGCUCAACUCCAGAACUGCCUUUGAUACUGAGAAGCUUGAGUCCGGGAGAGGUGAGUGGAACUGCGAGUGUAGAGGUGAAAUUCGUAGAUAUUCGCAAGAACACCAGUGGCGAAGGCGGCUCACUGGCCCGGUACUGACGCUGAGGUGCGGAAGCGUGGGGAGCAAACAGG
rnacentral:rRNA from 1 species